GAAAAGAAGAAAGCCUGCAAUUAAGAAUAAUAAAAUUUAAUAUACCUAUGAACUUGAAUAAUGUUAAUAAAAUUAAUUUAACCAUGAACAUGAAUCAAGUUUCCAGACAUAUUUGGCCCUCAUGUAAAACAAUGAAUUAAAUCAACUAUCUCAAGCUCUGACUUAAAAGAUAUUGUCAUGUACAGAGCACAAUGGUGGGGAAAUGUCCAUGAAGUAGGACAUUACAACUAGAUAUUGUUGUCUUCAAUUCAUUGUUGUUGUAAUCAAAUAAUCCAAGCUCUUAUCAGUCCUUAGGCUGUAAAUAAGCUUCAUCAAGCAACCUGCAAUGAUAUUGGAAAUUAUCCACAAAAGAAAAGAAAUUGUGAAGAUCUAAAAAGCCUGCAUAACCACUUCUUUUCCUUAUCCAAAGAACUAUCUUGCACUCCCCAGGAUAAACAACCUCUUGCAUGUGGUCGCUAGAAACAAAAAUUCCAAUGCAAGCCAUUUAGCACAAAGCAAAUCAUUGUGUUUCCAUGCCUUCAACAGAAAGAAUCGAAAUGGAGUAUAUCUAAUAUAUUAAAGCAGUGAUCAAAGUUCCCUACUGUACCUAUAUGUACAUGUUAGAGGGUGGCGAAGCCCAUAACCCAAAAGAAUGUAUGAAUAAUAAAACUGAACACAUACAUACAAAAAAACUAUGUCAGCUUUUGUGAGUCCAAAAAAUGACCACCUCAUAUUGCAAUUCUUAUCAAGUUUGUUCAAUAUAUCUAAACAACGUAAUUUUCAGAAAUUAUAAGUUCCUGCCUUUAUACAUCGCUGGCCAUCUCUCAGUCAACCUAUUGUUCUAUACACCCUGUAAAUGUUGAAUGAAAAAAAGAAAAACAAUGUAAUUGUACAAAUCUUACGAGUUCCUGGGUCUGCUAACAGGUCCCUCAGAUAGGGCGGCAUUGUUCUAAAACACCGUCUAAACGUUGAAUCCAUAGAAGUACUGCCUUGUGGUCAAGAUCAUAUAUCACAAUGCCUCUUGAGAACAACUUUCUUAGAUGAGCAUCUUCUAAAACAAUAUAUAUUAAAAUAAAAAUCUUUAAUAUUGAAAAAUUUUUAACUGGAAAAAAAGUUUAGAAGGAUUUAUAACUUGACUAACAUGAGAAAAAACUAAUUUCAAAAGAAAUAACAUCCAGGAGUAAAUAUUAACCACAUAAGAAUUACCAACGAUGAACAACUCUGCUUUUUGUUUCUUGCAUUUUAUAAGAUUAAGCUGGAUGUUUUAUUAGCUUCAUAUUCAAGCAAGCCAACUGACUUUCAUAUUUGUUUGUAUGUGCUUCAGCAAGUAUAGAUCCAGAUCUGGAAGUUUUUAUUAGUGAAGGAAAAAGCCAAGGAGGCAAUAUUACUAGGGAAACUUUGAAAGAAAGUAGAAAGAAGAAUAACCCAAAAACAAACAAAAUUUGAAAAUUUUGAAGUUCAUCAUCUGUUCUAACUUAGGGCUCAAUUCAGGUGCUUUCUUGCAACUUCUAUUGUUGUUUUGAUAUUUGUACUCUGUUUCUGUAGUAGAUAUUCCAUUAUUGGAUCUAGUGGAUGUGCUUAAGUAUUUCAAGUGGAUGGUUACCCCUUCUAUUUUCUCUUGGAAAGCAUAAAGAACUUUGAGCAUUACAUGUUAUACUGUAUGUAAUAUGAUAAUGAUGUGCAAAGAAAAAAACAUGUCACAUACUACAUAUAAAGCAACCAUACUACAUGUAAAUGGACUUUAUGCUUGGUAAGUUGUGUCUUCUUUAAUUGCAAAAAAAAAAUAAUUGAGACCAUAAUCAAAUUUGCAACGUUCAUGAUAAUUUCAAUAAAGCUCCGCAUCAAUGCAGAACCUUAGAUUUCAGAAAUCAAUUCUACUUUAUUUCAACUACAUACCAGACAAAGAUAGUUAAUAUUGUACAUAAACAUACCAUAUAUGCUCUCCUCAAAGAAGUGAUGUCUUCCUAUAUCCUACUUGUAUACCCUUGUCACAUGUCACAUACAACAAGCACAAUAAUGACAACGACGUGCGUGUGAUUUCUAAUGUCAUUGAGCUCUAAUUCAUGUCAAACACUAACAAAAUUUCCUCUGUGUUCAUGACAUAGCAUGACUUAGAACACUGCCAAGAACAAAACAAUAUCUCAAUAAGUAAAUUGGUGAAGACAUUUAGGAUCAGCAUAUAAUGUUAGGCAGCCUACAACAAAGAUCACCAACUAGAAUGACUUCUGGAAACUCCAUUGCGGCUCACGUUGGCCGGCAUUCUUUAGUCAAUUCUGUACAACCACCCCCUAAGAAACAUUUCAGGCUUAUC
rnacentral:lncRNA from 1 species